GAUGAACGCUGGCGGCGUGCCUAAUACAUGCAAGUCGAGCGAACGGACGAGAAGCUUGCUUCUCUGAUGUUAGCGGCGGACGGGUGAGUAACACGUGGAUAACCUACCUAUAAGACUGGGAUAACUUCGGGAAACCGUAGCUAAUACCGGAUAAUAUUUUGAACCGCAUGGUUCAAAAGUGAAAGACGGUCUUGCUGUCACUUAUAGAUGGAUCCGCGCUGCAUUAGCUAGUUGGUAAGGUAACGGCUUACCAAGGCAACGAUGCAUAGCCGACCUGAGAGGGUGAUCGGCCACACUGGAACUGAGACACGGUCCAGACUCCUACGGGAGGCGGCAGUAGGGAAUCUUCCGCAAUGGGCGAAAGCCUGACGGAGCAACGCCGCGUGAGUGAUGAAGGUCUUCGGAUCGUAAAACUCUGUUAUUAGGGAAGAACAUAUGUGUAAGUAACUGUGCACAUCUUGACGGUACCUAAUCAGAAAGCCACGGCUAACUACGUG
rnacentral:rRNA from 1 species